UUAAUAUAUUUAAUAUGAUUUUGUUUUUAUUUUUUUUGCUUCCGUACCCAAAGGGUAUAAACGGGACCCUAUUACCAACUAUCCACUGUGAACUGUCCGUCUGUCUGUCUGUCUGGCACCAGGCUGUAUUAUAAACCGUGAUAGCUAGACAGUCGAAAUGUUCACAGGUGUAAUUCUGUUGCCGCUAUAACAACAAAUACUAAAAAGUACGGAACCCUCGGUGGGCGAGUCCGACUCACACUUGUCCGGUUUUUUAAUGGUAUAGGAGGCAAUGGUAAGCUAUAACAUCGGCACUUACCAUCAGGUGAGAUUGCGGUCAAAUACUAAACGCAGAAGGGUUGCAAGUGCGUUGCCGGCCUUUAAGAUGGGAGUACGUUCUUUUUUUGAAGGUUUCAUGGUCGUAUCGGUCCGGAAAUACCGCAGGCGACAGUUCAUUCCACAGUUUAGCUGUGCGAAGUAGGAAGUUUCUGGAGAAACGCACAGUUGAGGACUGCCAACCAACUAAGUGGUGAAGAUGGAAAUAUUGUCGCGUAGAGCGAUGGGGGAAAGCAGCUUUCACGUUAUUAUAAUACAAUUCAUAUGGAAUAGACUACAUAAUCAUUGCCAACCCCAUAGCUUUGUGCGAUGUAAUAGAUUUUUAACAUUUGUCUUAGACACACUUCUAAAAUCAAUAAUUAUUUGAUGGUGGUAAUAUCACGCGUGGCCUAAGUCCUGUGCAUACUGGAUGCAUGUGCGUAAGCGUGCACAUAAUCGUUGUAAUCUACAGAGCCGUGUGAGAGAUGGCACACCGCUUGCGUGCACGGCUCCACCAUUUUAGCGCACGCACGUGCACUCAGUACUACACUGCGCGCACGCAGCCGCUGUGCUCUGGCCUUUAAUCAUAUCGAGUUAGCAUUAAGGGUGUCAUUUCACCUGUCAAAUUUCUUUGUCCAAUGUGUAUUGCGUCUCACAGUUUGCUUAAUGAGAGAGUGAGAUGCAAUGCACAUUGGACCAACAUAUUGGACAGAGUGCAAUAUCAACCUAAGCCGAUCGCCGGAGAAUUCGGAAAUUUGAAUAUUUAUCCUCUCAAAUGAUUUUUACGUCUAAGAUCCUAAUCUGUUAAACAAAAGCCAUUGUUUCUUUUGUGAGCGCGGUCGGCCAUUGUGUGUCAUUAUCUCUGAGCGCGUGCCACCGCUCGCACAAAAGAAACAAUGGCUUUUGUUUAACAGAUUAGGGUCUUAGACGUAAAAAUCAUUUGAGAAGAUGCAGACUAUACAAUGCAUUUGUAAAGGGCCCUCCACACUCGUGCGCGAAGCCGCGUAGUCUGGAGCGCGCUUUAAACGAACUUGUCUCGAACUUUGUUGAGGAGAAAAAUCGAUAAUAUCAAAGUACUAUUCAGUAAAAUAAUAUCUAUGAAAUAAGAAGUCAAAAAAUAUUGUAGUAUUUAAAUUUUCCAUAGUAUGGAAAGAAUAUUUUUUUGCAUAAUAUGUUGUAACAUUGUUGUAUUUGAAAUUGUAAGAUCGGUUUUCUUCGAAAAGCAUUAUUUUUAAAGUUAUUUACUAUAUGCAAUUAAUCGCAUUGGUUUUUUCCAAUUUAAAAAUAGGACUAUCCUGUAGUGCCACUAGAAACUAGCUGAAAAUAUACGUACACCUUUAUUUAGCUAAGCAUAAGAAAAAAUUAUAUGCAAUCUUUAGCUUCUACUGUCACAAAUCACAAUUGGUUGGUUUAUAUUAAGUAUUAGUAAAUGAGAUUAAAAUCUGCCGUUUGCUCAUCUCAUACAGAGGACGCUUUUCGAAUCUAUCAAAAGUCUGUAAUAGUUUAUCUAUUCUUAUUGCAAUUUAAAUUCGCAAAAAAUAUACAAAUUUUCAGCAGUGAUAAAAAUAUUAAUCAAUCAAACACAAUAUUGAAGUAUUUUUGCUUUCAAGUUCUUUAAAGCAAAAACAAAAAAAAAUUGGGCUAGUUUUUUUUAAAACUCCAAACCACUCGAACACGUAAGUGGCGACUUUAAAGGCCUGUGCACACCUGAUGGUGCGUAGACGUGCACUUUGUAAUAUACAGAUCCUUAAGAGAGGCGGCAAACCGCUUGCGUGACGAGUGCGUGCACGGCUCUAACAUUUUAGAGCACGCCCACGCAGCCGGUGUGAUCAGCGCCAUCUGCGUUAGGCUUUGCAAGUAAAUUUUAGUUUUAGUAUUUUUCAACGCUAUAUUUUGGUUAUUUGCGAGAAAUUGCAUAUAGUAAAGCAAUGUUUUGGUAAUUUAUCGAUAUGUGUAUAUACGCGUUCAUAGUGUAGCUGUUUAGGAGGUAAGGGAUGGAGAAAUACAUUUGAAUUUUUAUUUUAA